AUAAAGUUUUUUUUUUUUUCUGCUCAGGACGAACGCUGGCGGCGUGCUAAUACAUGCAAGUCGAACGAACUCUGGUAUUGAUUGGUGCUUGCAUCAUGAUUUACAUUUGAGUGAGUGGCGAACUGGUGAGUAACACGUGGGAAACCUGCCCAGAAGCGGGGGAUAACACCUGGAAACAGAUGCUAAUACCGCAUAACAACUUGGACCGCAUGGUCCGAGCUUGAAAGAUGGCUUCGGCUAUCACUUUUGGAUGGUCCCGCGGCGUAUUAGCUAGAUGGUGGGGUAACGGCUCACCAUGGCAAUGAUACGUAGCCGACCUGAGAGGGUAAUCGGCCACAUUGGGACUGAGACACGGCCCAAACUCCUACGGGAGGCAGCAGUAGGGAAUCUUCCACAAUGGACGAAAGUCUGAUGGAGCAACGCCGCGUGAGUGAAGAAGGGUUUCGGCUCGUAAAACUCUGUUGUUAAAGAAGAACAUAUCUGAGAGUAACUGUUCAGGUAUUGACGGUAUUUAACCAGAAAGCCACGGCUAACUACGUGCCAGCAGCCGCGGUAAUACGUAGGUGGCAAGCGUUGUCCGGAUUUAUUGGGCGUAAAGCGAGCGCAGGCGGUUUUUUAAGUCUGAUGUGAAAGCCUUCGGCUCAACCGAAGAAGUGCAUCGGAAACUGGGAAACUUGAGUGCAGAAGAGGACAGUGGAACUCCAUGUGUAGCGGUGAAAUGCGUAGAUAUAUGGAAGAACACCAGUGGCGAAGGCGGCUGUCUGGUCUGUAACUGACGCUGAGGCUCGAAAGUAUGGGUAGCAAACAGGAUUAGAUACCCUGGUAGUCCAUACCGUAAACGAUGAAUGCUAAGUGUUGGAGGGUUUCCGCCCUUCAGUGCUGCAGCUAACGCAUUAAGCAUCCCCCCCCCGG
rnacentral:rRNA from 2 species